GUACACGCUGUGACUAGCAUAUCAAUAAGCGGAGGAAAAGAAACUAACAAGGAUUCCCCUAGUGACGGCGAGUGAAGCGGGAAGAGCUCAAAUUUGAAAUCUUAAAGGGUUUCCCUUUACGAAUUGUAGUUUAAAGAAGUGUUUUCUGUUGAGGUUUUGGUAAAAGUUCUUUGGAAUAGGACAUCAUAGAGGGUGAGAAUCCCGUAUUUGACCUUUACUUUCAACUUCGUGAUACACUUUCAAAGAGUCGGAUUGUUCGGGAAUGCAGUCCAAAAUGGGUGGUAAAUUUCAUCUAAAGCUAAAUAUUGGCGAGAGACCGAUAGCGAACAAGUACCGUGAGGGAAAGAUGAAAAGAACUUUGAAAAGAGAGUUAAACAGUACGUGAAAUUGUCAAAAGGGAAGCGUUUGACACCAGUGUUGUUUUUCUGAAGAUCAAUUAAAGAACUGUUUAUGCUAAGUUGUUUAGACUUUAUCAGCUAUCUGUUUAGUUUUGAGCUUUUCUUUAAUGCACUUUUCAGUUAACAAGUCAACAUCAAUUUCUUUUGCUGUAAAAAAGCUUGAGGAAGGUGGCUUGAGAUUCGUCUUAAGUGUUUAUAGCCUCUUGCCUAUGCAGUCGGAGAGAUUGAGGUCUGCAGCGUAGAUCCUUCGGGGCUAAAUGCAUUUGUGCUAAGUUAUAGCAUUUUAUAGACAACUUGUUGACUAUGAUUUGUCUUGUAGCUUACUCGCUUAUGUUAUUUUACCUACGCUUAGGAUGUUGAAGUCAUCGUAUCGCGC
rnacentral:rRNA from 1 species